AGAGCGAACGCUGGCGGCAGGCCUAACACAUGCAAGUCGAGCGCCCGUAGCAAUACGGGAGCGGCAGACGGGAUAGUAACACGUGGGAACGCGCCCUUCGGUUCGGAAUAACUCAGGGAAACUUGAGCUAAUACCGGAUACGCCCUUACGGGGAAAGAUUUAUUGCCGAAGGAACGGCCCGCGUCCGAUUAGCUAGUUGGUGAGGUAAUGGCUCACCAAGGCUACGAUCGGUAGCUGGUCUGAGAGGAUGACCAGCAUCACUGGGACUGAGACACGGCCCAGACUCCUACGGGAGGCAGCAGUGGGGAAUAUUGGACAAUGGGCGCAAGCCUGAUCCAGCCAUGCCGCGUGGAUGAUGAAGGCCUUAGGGUUGUAAAGUCCUUUUAACGGGGAGAUAAUGACGGUACCCGUAGAAUAAGCCCCGGCUAACUCGUGCCAGCAGCCGC
rnacentral:rRNA from 1 species